rnacentral:rRNA from 1 species
GUUUCUGACCUAUCAGCUUUCGACGGUAUGGUAUUGGCUUACCGUGGCAGUGACGGUUAACGGGGGAUUAGGGUUCGAUUCCGGAGAGGGAGCCUGAGAAACGGCUACCACAUCUAAGGAAGGCAGCAGGCGCGCAAAUUACCCAAUUCUAACAGUUUGAGAGAGGUAGUAACAAGAAAUAACAAUACAAGGCAGUUAAAAUGCUUUGUAAUUGGAAUGAUAGAAAUUUAAACCCUUUUUAAAGUAUCAAUUGGAGGGCAAGUCUGGUGCCAGCAGCCGCGGUAAUUCCAGCUCCAAUAGCGUAUAUUAAAAUUGUUGCAGUUAAAAAGCUCGUAGUUGAAGUUCUGCUGAAAGUAACCGGUCUGCUUUUAAUAAAAGUGGUAUCUUGGUAUGUAUUUAGCAAUGAUGUCCUUUGAAGUGUUUUUUACUUUAUUGUAAUAAAGCAUAUUCAGGACUUUUACUUUGAGAAAAUUAGAGUG